AAAGAAGAAGAUAAAGCACGUUUGAGAAU
rnacentral:sRNA from 1 species